rnacentral:rRNA from 1 species
UGGGGAAUAUUGGACAAUGGGCGCAAGCCUGAUCCAGCCAUGCCGCGUGAGUGAUGAAGGCCCUAGGGUUGUAAAGCCCUUUCACCGGUGAAGAUAAUGACGGUAACCGGAGAAGAAGCCCCGGCGAACUUCGUGCCAGCAGCCGCGGUAAUACGAAGGGGGCUAGCGUUGUUCGGAUUUACUGGGCGUAAAGCGCACGUAGGCGGACUUUUAAGUCAGGGGUAAAAUCCCGGGGCUCAACCCCGGAACUGCCUUUGAUACUGGAAGUCUUGAGUAUGGUAGGGGUGAGUGGAAUUCCGGGUGUAGAGGUGAAAUUCGUAGAUAUUCGGAGGACCACCAGUGGCGAAGGCGGCUCACUGGACCAUUACUGACGCUGGGGUGCGAAAGCGUGGGGAGCAAACAGG